GAAGACAAGAUGGAUAUCAAAGGAUAUUUUUGUUCACAAAUACCCGCUUAUUUUACGUUAUAGCGACUCGUUAGUUUUGGAAAUUAUAACUCAAUGGACAGGGAAAACGAUUCUGUAUUAAAGAGAAAAGGAUGUGCAGUUAUUGUGAUGUUAUUUGUUGUGAAAGACGGCCCGAAAUUUCGCUACUUCGCUGUACUGGUUUAUAAAACAUUUACAAGCAACAGAAAUUGAACUAUAUGACAAAGAAACCAAUGUGUACAAGCCAAUCAAGUUCUUGAGUUUAAAGGUCAGUUACUUUUUAAUAAUUAGUUCAUUUA